rnacentral:rRNA from 1 species
GAUCAUGGCUCAGGAUGAACGCUAGCGACAGGCUUAACACAUGCAAGUCGAGGGGCAGCAUGAUUGUAGCAAUACAGAUUGAUGGCGACCGGCGCACGGGUGAGUAACGCGUAUGCAACUUACCGUAUCAGAGGGGGAUAAGCCCGGCGAAAGUCGGAUUAAUACUCCAUAAAACAGGGGUCCCGCAUGGGAAUAUUUGUUAAAGAUUCAUCGCUGAUAGAUAGGC